rnacentral:rRNA from 1 species
UACAGAGACUGCAAGCGUUAUUCGGAUUCACUGGGCGUAAAGGGUGCGCAGGCGGUCGGGUGUGUCAGAUGUGAAAUCCCGAGGCUCAACCUCGGAACUGCGUCUGAAACUACUCGACUAGAGUACUGGAGAGGGAAACGGAAUUCACGGUGUAGCAGUGAAAUGCGUAGAUAUCAGGAGGAACACCCGUGGCGAAGGCGGCUCUCUGGGACGGUACUGACGCUGAGACGCGAAAGCGUGGGGAGCGAACAGG